AGGAUCAUUACCGAAUUGCCAACAUGAGUUGUUGCUGGCCCUCAAAUGGGGGGCACGUGCACGCUCUGUUCGCACAUCCACUCACACCUGUGCACCUUCUGUAGUUCUAUGGCCUGGGGGACUCUGUUCUCCUGCGCUGUGGUUCUAUAUCUUUACACACACACACACUGCAAUAAAGUCUCAUGGAAUGUACACCGCGUUUAACGCAAUACAAUACAACUUUCAGCAACGGAUCUCUUGGCUCUCGCAUCGAUGAAGAACGCAGCGAAAUGCGAUAAGUAAUGUGAAUUGCAGAAUUCAGUGAAUCAUCGAAUCUUUGAACGCACCUUGCGCCCUUUGGUCAAUCCGAAGGGCAUGCCUGUUUGAGUAUCAUGAACACCUCAACUCUCAUGGUUCGCCAUGAUGGGCUUGGACUUUGGAGGUCUUGCUGGCCCUGUGGUCAGCUCCUCUCAAAUGAAUCAGCUUGCCAGUGUUUGGUGGCAUCACAGGUGUGAUAACUAUCUACGCCUGUGGUUUUCCGCCGGAUAACCUUCAGCAAUGGAGGUCCACUGGAGCUCAUAAACGUCUCUCCUCGGUGAGGACAACUAUUUGAAUGUUUGAUCUCAAAUCAGGUAGGACUACCCGCUGAACUUAAGCAUAUCAAUAAGCGGAGGAAAAGAAACUAACAAGGAUUCCCCUAGUAACUGCGAGUGAAGCGGGAAGAGCUCAAAUUUAAAAUCUGGCGUGCCUCUGGUCGUCCGAGUUGUAGUCU
rnacentral:rRNA from 1 species